rnacentral:rRNA from 1 species
CAGCCGCCGCGGGAAUACGUAGGGUGCAAGCGUUAAUCGGAAUUACUGGGCGUAAAGCGUGCGCAGGCGGUUCGCUAAGACAGAUGUGAAAUCCCCGGGCUUAACCUGGGAACUGCAUUUGUGACUGGCGGGCUAGAGUAUGGCAGAGGGGGGUAGAAUUCCACGUGUAGCAGUGAAAUGCGUAGAGAUGUGGUGGAAUACCGAUGGCGAAGGCAGCCCCCUGGGCCAAUACUGACGCUCAUGCACGAAAGCGUGGGGAGCAAACAGGAUUAGAUACCCCCGUAGUCCCUGUCUCUUAUAC